GUUCUCUUUGAGGCCCGCCAUCGGAAUGGGUACAACCUAAAUCCUUUAACGAGGAACUAUUGGAGGGCAAGUCUGGUGCCAGCAGCCGCGGUAAUUCCAGCUCCAAUAGCGUAUAUUAAAGUUGUUGCGGUUAAAAAGCUCGUAGUUGGAUCUGCGGCCGAGGAGAGCGGUCACCCGUUGGGUUGCUACUGCUUUUCCUGGCCUAAUUCUUCGGUUUUCCCUUGAUGCUCUUCAUUGAGUGUCUUGGGUGGCCGGAACGUUUACUUUGAAAAAAUUAGAGUGCUCAAGGCAAGCUAUUAGCUUGAAUAGUGGUGCAUGGAAUAAUAAAAGAGGAUAUUGGUCCGUUUUGUUGGUAAUGGUCUGAUAUAAUGAUAGAGGGGGACAAUCGGGGGCAUUCGUAUUGCGACGUUAGAGGUGAAAUUCUUGGAUCGUCGCAAGACGGACUACUGCGAAAGCAUUUGCCAAGAGUGUUUUCGUCAAUCAAGAACGAAAGUUAGAGGUUCGAAGGCGAUCAGAUACCGCCCUAGUUCUAACCGUAAACGAUGCCAACUAGCAAUCCGCCAGUGUUAAAUGUAUGACUUGGCGGGAGGCUUCCGGUAAACCAAAGUUGGGUUCCGGGGGGAGUAUGGUUGCAAAGCUGAAACUUAAAGGAAUUGACGGAAGGGCACCACCAGGAGUGGAGCCUGCGGCUUAAUUUGACCCAACACGGGGAAACUCACCCGGCCCGAACACCGUAAGGAUUGACAGAUUGAGAGCUCUUUCUUGAUUCGGUGGGUGGUGGUGCAUGGCCGUUCUUAGUUGGUGGAGCGAUUUGUCUGGUUAAUUCCGAUAACGAACGAGACUCUAGCCUACUAAAUAGACACUGGAUUCGGUUGUCCAGUGUACUUCUUAGAGGGACAAGCGGCGUCUAGCUGCACGAGAUUGAGCAAUAACAGGUCUGUGAUGCCCUUAGAUGUUCGGGGCCGCACGCGCGCUACACUGAAGGAAUCAACAUGCAUCUCAACCUUGUCCGGAAGGACUUGGUAACCCGUUGAAACUCCUUCGUGAUUGGGAUAGGGAAUUACAAUUAUUUCCCUUGAACGAGGAAUUCCCAGUAAGUGCGGGUCAUCAGCUCGCGUUGAUUACGUCCCUGCCCUUUGUACACACCGCCCGUCGCUAUUACCGAUUGGAUGGUUCAGUGAGACAUGAGGACUUGCG
rnacentral:rRNA from 1 species